rnacentral:rRNA from 1 species
GAGUUUGAUCAUGGCUCAGAGUGAACGCUGGCGGCGUGCCUAACACAUGCAAGUCGAACGCGAAAGCCCCGCAAGGGGUAAGUAGAGUGGCAGACGGGUGAGUAAUGCAUAGGUAAUCUACCUUUGAGUGGAGUAUAACACACCGAAAGGUAUGCUAAUCCCGCAUAAUAUCUCGAUGCAUAAGCGUCGGGAUCAAAGAGGGGGACCCUUCGGGGCCUCUCGCUUGAAGAGGAGCCUAUGUCCUAUUAGCUAGUUGGUGAGGUAAUGGCUCACCAAGGCUAUGAUGGGUAGCCGAGCUGAGAGGCUGAUCGGCCACACUGGAACUGAAACACGGUCCAGACUCCUACGGGAGGCAGCAGUGGGGAAUUUUGCGCAAUGGACGCAAGUCUGACGCAGCGACGCCGCGUGAGGGAUGAAGGUCUUCGUGAUUGUAAACCUCUGUCAGGAAGGAUUAAAUGCAUGGGCGUGAAUAUCGCUCAUGCUUGACUUAACUUCCAGAGGAAGCCCCGGCUAACUACGUGCCAGCAGCCGCGGUAAUACGUAGGGGGGCAAGUGUUACUCGGAUUUACUGGGCGUAAAGCGAAUUCAGGCGGUCUUGUAAGUCAGUGGUGAAAUCCCUCGGCUCAACUGAGGAAUUGCCUCUGAUACUGCUUGACUUG